rnacentral:rRNA from 1 species
CUGCCGCGUGAGGGAGGAGGCUCUUGGGUUGUAAACCUCAAAACUUAGGGAAGAAAAAAAUGACGGUACCUAAUGUAAGCAUCGGCUAACUCCGUGCCAGCAGCCGCGGUAAUACGGAGGAUGCAAGCGUUAUCCGGAAUCAUUGGGCGUAAAGAGUCCGUAGGUGGCACUUCAAGUCUGCUUUCAAAGACCGAAGCUCAACUUCGGAAAGGGAGUGGAAACUGAAGAGCUAGAGUAUAGUAGGGGUAGAGGGAAUUCCUAGUGUAGCGGUGAAAUGCGUAGAGAUUAGGAAGAACACCAGUGGCGAAGGCGCUCUACUGGGCAUAUACUGACACUGAGGGACGAAAGCUAGGGGAGCGAAUGGGAUUAGAUCCCNNAGUAGUA